AGCAGUUUCCUCAAGCCCGCUCCUCGAGCGCCUCCCGCACAGCGACCGCGAGGAGAGGUGAGGGUGCAGAGCGCCCCGCCGGGCCCGCGGGCCAAACCCAGUACCUGGGCGGGCUGCCCGGCGGAGGGAACCAGGCCAGGCCGGGCCGCCUCACACCCGCGGCGGCGGCGGCGGCGGCGGCGGCGGCGGCGGAGGCGGGUUCUCUGCGCGCCCUCUCCGGGGAGGGGGCGGGGGCGGGGGCGCCCGCGGAUUGGUCGGCAGGCUCUGAUGGACAGCAGGCCUGUCCCGCCCCUCUCUGGUCGUGCAGGGCCGGCCCGCGGGCGGUUUCUGUGACUGUCAGACCCAGGUUUGUUGUACCCCUGCAGCCAGUGUGGCCUUGGAGGGUUCCGUCACUCGGAGUAGCCCCCUCAGGCCUGAGCACCCCCUGCAAGGCCUCCAGUAGUCUUCGCCUCUGCCCCUCGGCUGGACCAGUGUCCUCUCCACCCCUCGCUCCGACUCCAUGUGUGCAACCUGUCUGACAGAUGUUGAGCCAGGCAGAGCAGGACAGUGUUCUGCAGUUCAGAGCUGAGAGGCCCAGCAGAGCACCCAGCUGAUGCUAGAGAGAUCCAGGCUUCCAGGAAUGUAUGGAAAAAUGGAGGCAUGGGGAGAUUAAGAGACAUACUCAUGGACGCACAGCUAAGAGGUGGCGGAGAUGGGAUUCAAACCAAGGCGGCCUGGCACCAGAGUCCAUGCUAUGUUGCCUUCUGCGUAGCUGGACUCCAGCAUCCCAGGAAGGGCUUGACCGGAGGGAGUCUGUCAGAUCCUGCGCAUAUGGCCUCUGCUCCUGGACAUGGCUGCAAGUGGCUGCAAGUGGGAGGAGGAAAGCCUGAUGAACAAGCAAGGGGUGGGCCUCCUGACUCCAUGCUCAAGCAUCCUCCCUCCAGGGCCCUUCACACCUGGUCCUCACCUACCUGUCUGGCCUCUUCCUCAUCCCAGCUUCCCAUUCUCUCGCUUGCUUUCCAGGCUUGCUGCUACCACCCAGGAUGUCCUUCACAACUAGUCUUGACCAGCGUCUAGUUGCUCUGCACCUGCCCUCAGAAGAAAAAAGUUUCUUGCUGGAAAAGAACAGAUCCAGAACUGGCUAUCUGAUGUCCCAGCCCAGAAGAGUGAAGUAUAAAAGGCCAUAGCAGAUAUAAUUCUCUUCAUUUUGCUACCCCACUAUUCGGAUCCAAGAUACCUUAGAUUGCAAGUUCAUCAUGGACUUCUCAAAAGUUUUUGGUGGUGCCCUCUGAUGGUUACAAAGAAUUGCAACAGCUCGGUUGGCACGGUUAUAAGAUAGGAUCUUUGCUGGGAUGUUCUCAUCAGCUGUAAAGAAAGAAACAUGAUUCUAUGGGCACCAUAUAAAGAGUGGAAGAGGAAGGGAAUAGAAACCCUUGCAAGAUGAUGUCUGUAUAAUGGAAAUCCUGGAAGGAAAAGCAGAACAAACCAAGAUGAGCAAAUAAAGAUGUGAAUGAGCA